rnacentral:sRNA from 1 species
UAAAAACCUAUUAUCAAUUUGGCGCAGUUGCCAAUUGGGUGUUUGUUUGCUAUAUUUGAGAUCUCAGAAUACUUAAGAUCAAGUUCUUUUUCAAUUUUUCUGAAAGUUACUAACUUUGUGUUUUUUCUGAUUGUCUGUUUUGAUUCAGGUACUAUGAAUCACUAGCUUCAACAGUUGGUACUCGUUGUAUGCAAACACGGUCACGAGGAAAUCAGAAUCUCUUGUUCAACGAUAACAUCGACCGUAUUGCACGCCAACUCAAAACACAGACAGAAACAGACACAAUGGCUGCAGUUGUUGAUGAGCAGGUGCAACCAAACAACAUAGGUGCAGGCGAUGCACCACGCAACCACAAUCAGCGUAAUGGCAUCGUGCCUCCACCUGUGCAGAACAACAACUUUGAGAUCAAGAGCGGUCUCAUUGCCAUGGUUCAGAGCAACAAGUUCCACGACCUCCCUAUGGAGGAUCCACUGGAUCACCUGGACGAGUUUGAUAGGCUCUGCAGCCUAACAAAGAUCAAUGGAGUCAGUGAGGAUGACUUCAAGCUUAGAUUGUUUCCAUUCUCUAUUGGAGACAAAGCCCAUCAGUGGGAAAAGUCGCUUCCUCAAGGCUCUAUCACCUCCUGGAAUGACUGCAAGAAAGCCUUCUUGGCUAAGUUUUUCUCAAACUCCAGGACUGCGAGACUAAGGAAUGAUAUCUCUGGUUUCACUCAGACGAAUAAUGAGACUUUCUGUGAAGCAUGGGAGCGCUUUAAGGGUUAUCAGACGCAAUGUCCUCAUCAUGGUUUCUCGAAAGCUUCACUUCUCAGCACUCUCUACAGAGGUGUCCUUCCAAAGAUCAGGAUGCUUCUAGAUACCGCUUCUAACGGGAACUUCCUCAACAAAGAUGUUGAAGACGGAUGGGAGCUGGUAGAGAACUUGGCUCAGUCGGAUGGCAACUAUAAUGAAGAUUAUGAUAGAAGCAUCCGCACCAGCUCUGAUUCUGAUGAGAAGCACCGCAGGGAAAUGAAAGCCAUGAAUGACAAACUGGACAAGCUACUCCUUGUGCA